rnacentral:rRNA from 1 species
UUCAGGGAAAAACUGUUUUAAACUUAAAAAUUAAAUUUAUUUUAAUUUGUGAGGAAACAAUUAUUUAAAUUAAGGACAAGAAGACCCUAAGAAUUUUAAAGAUAAUAAUUUUAAUGUUAAAAUUAUUAUCUUUUGGUUGGGGCAACUAAAAAAGAUUAUAAACUUUUUAUUUAAUAAAAUGACCCAUUAUUAAUGAUAAUUUGAUAAAAAUACUCUAGGGAUAACAGCGUAAUAAUUUUUGAUAGAACAUAUAGACAAAAUAGUUUGCGACCUCGAUGUUGGAUUAGGAUACUUUUUUAAUGAAGAUGUUAAAAAAAGAAGUUUGUUCAACUUUUAAAGUCCU